GCGCCCGUAGCUCAGUUGGUAGAGCAGUGGCACGGUACCCUACGUUUCCGGGUUCAAGUCCCGGCGGUCGCU